rnacentral:tRNA from 1 species
GCUUGUGUGCCAUAGUGGCUUGAAUGUUGGACUACAACUCUAGAGACCAGGGUUUGAUUCCCUGCUUGGCCA